rnacentral:rRNA from 1 species
GAUGAACGCUGACAGAAUGCUUAACACAUCAGCAAUUGAUUGGUGGCGGACGGAUGAGUAACUCGUAAAGAACUUGCCUCACAGCUAGGGACAACAUUUGGAAACGAAUGCUAAUACAUAAUACUGUGAGAGAGCUUGGCGUCCCAUUAGCUAGUUGGAGAGGUAACGGCUCACCAAGGCGAUGCUGGGUAGCCGGCCUGAGAUGGUGUUAGGCCACAAGGGGACUGAGACACGGCCCUUACUCCUACGGGAGGCAGCAGUGGGGAUUAUUGGACAAUGGACCAAAGUCUGAUCCAGCAAUUCUGUGUGCACGAUGAAGUUUUCGGAAUGUAAAGUGCUUUCAGUUGGGAAGCGGUACCAACAGAAGAAGUGACGGCUAACUACGUGCCAGCAGCCGCGGUAAUUC